rnacentral:rRNA from 1 species
AUGUGUGGUAAUGGAGAAGAAGAUGAGUGCCACGUUGUAGCAGCAUGCAUAAAGAGUAGAGCACUGAGAUUUGCUUUACAGGAGAAAUGGAGCUUGCCAGCAGAGAAUAAAUUUUGGUUUACAAGGGAGGGCUGGCUUCAGGUACUGCUAGAUACCGAGUCUGAGGAGAUGCAUGCGAAAAUUUUGUUACUGUUGUGGCACUGCUGGCAACUGCGAGAGGACUACAUCCGCAACGAAGGACGAGAAUCAAUAGCAGGAUCAAUACAAUUCCUAACUAAAGCUAGUAUAGAGUUGAGUUACUUAACAUUUUCUAUUCCCCACCUGACACAGCACGAGGCAACAUUGAAACCAAACAAGCCACUGCCAGGCUUGCCUAGACAGGCACGGAAAGCACCCCUUACCAGGCCCAGGCCAGGCACCUAA